AAGUCGUAACAAGGUUUCCGUAGGUGAACCUGCGGAAGGAUCAUUAAAGUAAUUAUGUUCGGAUUUAUUCGAAUCUACUUUUUGUGAAGCUAAUGGCUAUAUGAAAUCAUUUGGGGAUUGAAAAUGUCUGGCAUUCGUUUGCUGGACGGCCCCAAACCAAAUAUCAUUAAACACUAUCAUUUUCUGACUGACAGUUAUCUCAAUUUAUAAUUGAUAAAAUAACUUUCAACAACGGAUCUCUUGGUUCUC
rnacentral:misc_RNA from 1 species